ensembl:lncRNA
CUUCCUUCCUGUCGCCAGCUGCUUUCUUUCCACAGAGGCUCGCUUGGCGAUGGCGGCUUUCUUUUCUUGUCCGGUAAGAAUGUUCUCAUCAGGGUGGUGGUCGGUGCGCGCUCUUAAGAAAACUCUGGUGUUUCAGGAGAGACUGUAAGGAUGAGCGGGAGCCUGAGGGCAGGAGUCCAAAGAUGGAAGUGGAGGAGGGCGACACCGCCCCACAGGAGAAGGAGAAAUAAUCUCUCUUGAGAAUACACCAGUGUUGAAAAUUUCCCCAAGGAUGAAGCUUCAGACAGUUGGAGAAACUGGAAAACACAUACAUGCAAGUACUCACAUCUUAUCAGCUUAACCUCCUUUGUGUGCAUGGCUCAGCCAAGGGCAGAAAGGCAGAGCACAGCCCUUUCUGGGAGGCAGAUACAGGGCCCCCCAGCCCUGGCUGGCUCUAGAUCUGACCCCCAGACUUUCCUCACGGGGGGCAGGGAAGCCUGCCUGUAUCACAUAUUUUAUUUAGAAGGUCAGUUGCAACAAGGAAGAAAAGCUGAAAUAAACUGCUUUCUGCAAUUAUUAUUAUUUUUUUUUUGCAACAACUUUCACAUCCAAG